CAGCAGCCGCGGUAAUACGUAUGGUGCAAGCGUUAUCCGGAUUUACUGGGUGUAAAGGGAGCGUAGACGGAGUGGCAAGUCUGAUGUGAAAACCCGGGGCUCAACCCCGGGACUGCAUUGGAAACUGUCAAUCUAGAGUACGGGAGAGGUAAGCGGAAUUCCUAGUGUAGCGGUGAAAUGCGUAGAUAUUAGGAGGAACACCAGUGGCGAAGGCGGCUUACUGGACGGUAACUGACGUUGAGGCUCGAAAGCGUGGGGAGCAAACAGGAUUAGAUACCCUGGUAGUCCACGCCGUAAACGAUGACUACUAGGUGUCGGGCAGCAAAGCUGUUCGGUGCCGCAGCAAACGCAAUAAGUAGUCCACCUGGGGAGU
rnacentral:rRNA from 1 species